rnacentral:lncRNA from 1 species
UUGUGAUUAGCAUGUCUCUCUGGUUCUAUCAUUGCUCAGUGCUUCCGCACCACGUGCUAUGAACCCAGGAACUUAGUAUACAUGAAAACAUCUCAAAUGGAAUACUAUUCGAAUAAAUAAAGUCCUUGGUGGAUUACUUUGAUUGGCGCGAGUGCAUCGAAUGGCCACGAGUACAGAUGGGACGAAGGGGAGGGGGGACUCAUUUGCGCUAGACAACCAUGGCGGAGUGAUCAGGGCCCACUGUUCAUUAUGGCGUCGGAACCUCUGCUGCCUCUGCCGGGGAACAAGAUUUCAGACGGUCGCGAGGAAGAGGCAGAGGUGAAUGGGGAGACGGCGACCGGACGAGGUCCAGCCCCCCCUCCUCUCAUGUGCUGGGAUACCUUGUCUCAGUCGGACAGCCUCCGGUAAGUCCCAACAAAGAAGCCCACCAAGUGGUUCCUCACUGUGCCGAGGUGCAUGCACCAGGCCUCUGCUCCUCGCUCAAACAAGACCAACCUGCAAGCCUGGAAUAUUGAACAGAAUGAAUCAUAAGCAAUGGCGACGACCAAUAAACUGAGUUGAGACUUGAGUUGAGGGACGAAUUACCAGUGUUUUGGGUUUCUUUGAGGAGGGCAGCGGGGGAAAAGGAACAGUGCCACGUGACGUUGUUUGAUGCUUGUUCAAUGGAUCGCCAGACAUAAGUUCUUUCGAAUUCGCACCCACUGUGAGGACCUUUCUCCAUCUUCCUCUAUAAAUAGGUUAUUAUACCCGUCUGAGACGAUCACGAAUCACAAGAACAGGAAACUGGUUCAGACUACUGUACUUGCAGACUUUACCUUUUUUAAUCAGCUUCUCCACGUUCAAUUCUGAGGGCUCAAGAGUGGGAAGAACCAUGGGGAUCCAUCUUCUGGGGAUCAGUCACUCAAAGCACGCCACCCACCGGGCACCGGAACGGAGGAGUUCACAGCAGCGUGCGGACGUGCCG